rnacentral:lncRNA from 1 species
GUGGGUAUUGGAGACUGCUGCAUCAGCAGGGAAAUGCUUUAUAUCCUCAAAUGACAUGUGCUUCUCCUGACAGCUCAUUGACCAGAAUUAGCAACAUGGCCCUUCCUAACUAGAAGGGACCAGAAUGGAUAGUCCUUCUAUGUGUCCAGAAGGAGAGAAGGACCAGAUAUGUGUGAUCAUGUCUCCAUUAUGGGAGAAAAGAGAAUUGAAAAAGAAAGAAGAUCCACAUAGUGUCUGAGGAGCUGAGACAAAAGAAAAGAGUUGUUAUGGGGCUCUGAUUAGAAUAUAGAGCAAAUCACAGAGCCUCCUGCUAACAGGUGUGCAGACAAGCGCUAAGAU